rnacentral:rRNA from 1 species
AUCCACCCGUUCCCAUACCGAACACGGAAGUUAAGCCCUCCAGCGCCGAUGGUACUUGGGUCUAAGCCCUGGGAGAGUAGGUCGUUGCCAGGC